UGGGGAAUCUUCCGCAAUGGACGAAAGUCUGACGGAGCAACGCCGCGUGAGUGAAGAAGGUUUUCGGAUCGUAAAACUCUGUCUUUUGGGGCGAACGUGAGUAUGGUGAACAAUCAUAGUCAGUGACGGUACCAAAGGAGGAAGCCACGGCUAACUACGUGCCAGCAGCCGCGGUAAUACGUAGGUGGCAAGCGUUGUCCGGAAUUAUUGGGCGUAAAGAGCGCGUAGGCGGGAUAGUCAGUCUGUUGUAAAGUGCGGGGCUCAACCCCGUGAUCGCAAUGGAAACAGCUAUUCUUGAGUGCAGGAGAGGAAAGUAGAAUUCCCAGUGUAGCGGUGAAAUGCGUAGAUAUUGGGAGGAACACCAGUGGCGAAGGCGACUUUCUGGACUGUGUCUGACGCUGAGGCGCGAAAGCCAGGGGAGCGAACGGGAUUAGAUACCCCCGGUAGUCCCCGGCCGUAAAACGAUGGGUACUAGGUGUGGGAGGUAUCGACCCCUUCCGUGCCGGAGUUAACGCAAUAAGUACCCCCGCCUGGGGAGUACGGUCGCAAGACUGAAACUCAAAUGAAUUGAC
rnacentral:rRNA from 1 species